rnacentral:lncRNA from 1 species
AUCACCAUCAAAUGUUCACUUAGAAUAUUUGAAUCCUAAGACCUUAUAUCAAAAAAAAAAAAAAAAAAAAUGUUGAAUCCUAUGACAUGGUCACAAUCUUUGUUUCUUUCAAUCAGAACUUGGCCUGCUCAACCUCUUCCUCCACGGUCACAUCUUCUCCUCAUUCGUUCGCAUUUGCCAAAUUCUCAAACUAAUCACAUUCCUUUCUGCUGAACCGGGC